GGAUGCGAUCAUACCAGCACUAACGCACCGGAUCCCAUCAGAACUCCGAAGUUAAGCGUGUUUGGGCGAGAGUAGUACUAGGAUGGGUGACCCCCUGGGAAGUCCUCGUGUUGCAUCCC
rfam:Nicotiana attenuata strain TT scaffold07128, whole genome shotgun sequence.